rnacentral:rRNA from 1 species
UACGGGGGGGGCAAGCGUUGUUCGGAAUUACUGGGCGUAAAGGGCUCGUAGGUGGCCAACUAAGUCAGACGUGAAAUCCCUCGGCUUAACCGGGGAACUGCGUCUGAUACUGGAUGGCUUGAGGUUGGGAGAGGGAUGCGGAAUUCCAGGUGUAGCGGUGAAAUGCGUAGAUAUCUGGAGGAACACCGGUGGUGUAGACGGCUCUCUGGACCGCAACUGACGCUGAGACACGAAAGCGUGGGUAGCAAACAGG